rnacentral:rRNA from 1 species
UACGAAGGGUGCAAACGUUGCUCGGAAUCAUUGGGCGUAAAGCGCACGUAGGCGGCUUCGCAAGUCGGAUGUGAAAGCCCCUGGCUCAACUGGGGAAGUGCACCCGAAACUGAAUGGCUUGAGUACUAAAGAGGGUCGCGGAAUUCCCGGUGUAGAGGUGAAAUUCGUAGAUAUCGGGAGGAACACCGGUGGCGAAGGCGGCGACCUGGGUCGAGACUGACGCUGAGGCGCGAAAGCGUGGGGAGCAAACAGG